rnacentral:rRNA from 1 species
AGUGAACGCUGGCGGUAGGCCUAACACAUGCAAGUCGAACGGCAGCACAGGAGAGCUUGCUCUCUGGGUGGCGAGUGGCGGACGGGUGAGGAAUACAUCGGAAUCUACUCUGUCGUGGGGGAUAACGUAGGGAAACUUACGCUAAUACCGCAUACGACCUACGGGCGAAAGCAGGGGAUCUUCGGAACUUGCGCGAUUGAAUGAGCCGGUGUCGGAUUAGAUAGUUGGCGGGGUAAAGGCCCACCAAGGCGACGAUCCGUAGCUGGUCUGAGAGGAUGAUCAGCCACACUGGAACUGAGACACGGUCCAGACUCCUACGGGAGGCAGCAGUGGGGAAUAUUGGACAAUGGGCGCAAGCCUGAUCCAGCCAUACCGCGUGGGUGAAGAAGGCCUUCGGGUUGUAAAGCCCUUUUGUUGGGAAAGAAAUCCAGCUGGCUAAUACCCGGUUGGGAUGACGGUACCCAAAGAAUAAGCACCGGCUAACUUCGUGCCAGCAGCCGCCGUAA